UACAGAGGUCCCAAGCGUUGUUCGGAUUCACUGGGCGUAAAGGGUGCGUAGGCGGCGCGGUAAGUCGGGUGUGAAAUCUCGGAGCUUAACUCCGAAACUGCAUUCGAUACUGCCGUGCUUGAGGACUGGAGAGGAGACUGGAAUUCAUGGUGUAGCAGUGAAAUGCGUAGAGAUCAUGAGGAAGACCAGUGGCGAAGGCGGGUCUCUGGACAGUUCCUGACACUGAGGCACGAAGGCCAGGGGAGCAAACGGG
rnacentral:rRNA from 1 species